rnacentral:rRNA from 1 species
GAUGAACGCUGGCGGCGUGCUUAACACAUGCAAGUCGAACGAAGCACUUUAUUUGAUUUCCUUCGGGACUGAUUAUUUUGUGACUGAGUGGCGGACGGGUGAGUAACGCGUGGGUAACCUGCCUUGUACAGGGGGAUAACAGUUGGAAACGGCUGCUAAUACCGCAUAAGCGCACAGCAUCGCAUGAUGCAGUGUGAAAAACUCCGGUGGUAUAAGAUGGACCCGCGUUGGAUUAGCUAGUUGGUGAGGUAACGGCCCACCAAGGCGACGAUCCAUAGCCGACCUGAGAGGGGGACCGGCCAAAUUGGGAAUGAGACACGGCCCAAACCCCUCCGGGGGGCAGCAGUGGGGAAUAUGGCACAAGGGGCGAAAGCCUGAUGCAGCGGGGCCGGGUGAGCAAAGAAGUAUUUCGGUAUGUAAAGCUCUAUCAGCAGGGAAGAUAAGGAGGGUACCUGACAAAAAAGCACCGGCUAAAUACGG